UACGUAGGGAGCAAGCGUUGUCCGGAAUCAUUGGGCGUAAAGCGCGCGUAGGCGGCCUCGUAAGUCCGUUGUGAAAGUCAAAGGCUCAACCUUUGAAAGCCGAUGGAUACUGUGAGGCUAGAGUCCGGAAGAGGCGAGUGGAAUUCCUGGUGUAGCGGGUGGAAUGCGCAGAUAUCAGGAGGAACACCAAUAGCGAAGGCAGCUCGCUGGGACGGUACUGACCGCUAAGGCGCGAAAGCGUGGGGAGCGAACAGGA
rnacentral:rRNA from 1 species